UGGUCUGAACAGGUAAGUGACAUUUUAAAACGUCUCACUAUUGAGGGGUUAUGCAAAUAAAUCACUGCCAUAAUGAGGAUGAUUUUGUAAUCAAAUGUUUUUACAGUUGAGUGAGCAAAAUCUCACCUGAUAAUGAUAACCCAAUUCAAAUUUAUUUGCACUGUUCACACAUUUCAAGAUUACACCUGAGUUGUUUUUUUUUCCACACUUCAUCUCCCUUUGCUUUUUUCACUUUGUUGCAAGUAAGCACAUUGUUGCAGUCAGCUGAAUCAGGCAAAAUAGGAAGGAAGGAAAGUGGGGGGAGGAUGAAAAUGCGUAGAGAAUGACAGGAGAAGAAGAGGAACAAGGGGAAGAUGCAUUCUGAAUGAGGGAUGAGAAGAGGCUGAUGAAUAAUAGAGAAGAGUUGGGCGUGGGCUGCAGACAUGGGGGGAUGUAAUAUUCGUCAACGAUACUGUCCAGUGAAAAAGUAUUGGCCCCCUUUUGAUUUUUUUGCAUUCAUUUCCACCAUUUAAAUUUUCAAGAUUAUCAAAUAAAUCUAAAGAGACAA